GAAAUGGCUGUUUUUCCAAUGAAAGCCUAUUCACCAUUUAAAGGGAUAGGACCCAGAUUCCGUUCCCUAUGGCUUCCACUAGUUGUGAACAGUCUUUAGACAUUGUUUCAGGCUUUUAUUCUGAAAAAUGAGGGAGAAUGACAACUUUGAGUGAGUGGAUAGUGGGAUGUCCCCAGAGAUGUUUUCUGCGCACGACUGAGAGCGCACCUUUCUUGUUUUUCUUUUAUAUUCACGACGCUAUUGUCCGGUUGAAAUAUUAUCGAUUAUUUAGGCUAAAAACAACCUGAGAAUUGAUUAUAAACAUCGUUUGACAUGUUUCUAUGAACUUUACAGAUACUAUUUGGAAUUUUCGUCUGCCUGUUGUGAACGCAUUUGAGCCAUUGGAUUACUGAACAAAACGCGCCAACAGAGUGGAGUUUUUUGGAUAUAAAGAGGGACUUUAUCGAACAAAACAAACAUUUAUUGUGUAACUGGGAGUCUUGUGAGUGCAACCAUACGAAGAUCAAAGGUGUAGUGGCAGAAGCAACAUUGGAGAACUGGGUGGCCAGGCAAAAAAAAACUAAGAAGAAGGGAGGGAAAUUGAGAGAGAAUAAUUAGUACUUCCCCAAAAAUGGACAGAUGGUUGGUGGCGCUUGGUAAGUACAACCCCACCUUGAUUGUUCAGACAUCUGAGUAUGUGGAUCCAGAAAAUGGAAUGGAAGUCACACCCCCAGUAGCAGACCAUACAUUCAGCUUACACUAUGAGAGGGGAGUGUCUAGUGCAUUGUGUGGGUAUAGUAAUUUAAGAAGGUCAUACAGUGUAGGAACGGUAAAUGAGGGGCCCUGGCGGAGCGAUGGGGGGGGCAAGCAGCAAUGCAGUGUCCCAUAUAACAUCAACCUCUAUGGCAUCCUCAGACGAGGAAUGGCACGCAUGCUAUUUACAGUUGCAUGAGAAGUGGAACAGACAGGACCAGUUACCUGGAUGGAGAGGUUCAGGGCCAGAGUACCUAGACCCGGCAAGGUUGGCUCCUCCAUAUAUACCUUCACCUCCCUCUUACCAAAAAUCGGUUACUCACGGACACCCUUCGGCUCCCCUUCCAAAAUAAGUAGGGAUACAUGGGACUCGGAAGAAAGAAAGUGGACCCGCCCAUAGUUACGGAUCCCUUUAGGAAUUAAAGUGGGAUCUGGCACCGAGGGGGUGAAGUACGUUUCUGGGUUUCUGGGUCAGAUGAGUAUAGGUGAAUGAGUGGAUGUGGAGUCGGAAGGGGAGGAAAUACACAAAACGCUAGACUCCGGUCCAGGGAGUACCCUGCCAUGGUAUGGGUCCCUGAUUGAACGUACUGGUGAUAGCGAAGUAGUAGUCACCUCUAACCGCGGAGUGUUCAAGAAUACAAAAGCCAGUAUUAGUGCCUAGAACCUCAUCUGGGGCAACCUGGAGGAAGAUGGUUGAAGAUUUUGCCUCUAUGAUUACAGAACCCAGGGGGCAAAUGGAAAUGAGAAGGAGUGCACACCCGCAAGGGGCCGAGACCAGAGUGAGCCAGGGUCAGGCAGGGGAAAUAGCAAAAGGGAAAGAGAGGCAAAAGGAGAUGGCUCAGCCCCUAAGCAAAAUCCCACCAAUGUGCCCCAGGAAAUAAAGGGAAGCAUAGUGUUUCCCUGACAACCCCAAAUAAGGAUCACUCAUCUGUGGGGCACACACUCAGGCCAUUACCAAUGGCGCCAAUGGUCACCUGAAUCAUCCAGGGGGUUUAGUGCAGGAAUAUAGCUAUUGGGCGGUACCUCGAUUAGAGGUAGAAGGACAAGCCCGGGUAGCAGUAAAGGAACCAGUAAAUGUUUAAAAAAUGUAACCAUUACUGGAGGUAAUCUGACCCAAAGCACCCCAUCAGGAGAGGUUAGGAAAUAUGUGAUACAUGCAGUGAGACCAGAAAAUAAAAUGUCACUAUACUUCCUAGGAGAAAUCCUGGAAAUGGGGGUAAGCCCUCAGGCCCUAGUGAGCCCUCAGGGUUGAGACAUAUAAUGAUAGUGGCCUAGGUGACUAUCAGCAGGGAAUUAGAAUGAAUGAAUAGGGCCAAGGGAUGGGGGUGGACAGACCGUGUGGGAACACUCCUGGACACCUCCAGGCUCCCACCAUCACCAGUGUGUCAUAUUAUACUAGUAAUAACAACAGUGAAGAUGAUGGGGAUGAUGAUAAUGCCAGAAG
rnacentral:lncRNA from 1 species